rnacentral:rRNA from 1 species
AAAAGUCGUAACAAGGUUUCCGUAGGUGAACCUGCGGAAGGAUCAUUAAAGAAAUUUAAUAAUUUUGAAAAUGGAUUUUUUUGUUUUGGCAAGAGCAUGAGAGCUUUUACUGGGCAAGAAGACAAGAGAUGGGGAGUCCAGCCGGGCCUGCGCUUAAGUGCGCGGUCUUGCUAGGCUUGUAAGUUUCUUUCUUGCUAUUCCAAACGGUGAGAGAUUUCUGUGCUUUUGUUAUAGGACAAUUAAAACCGUUUCAAUACAACACACUGUGGAGUUUUCAUAUCUUUGCAACUUUUUCUUUGGGCAUUCGAGCAAUCGGGGCCCAGAGGUAACAAACACAAACAAUUUUAUCUAUUCAUUAAAUUUUUGUCAAAAACAAGAAUUUUCGUAACUGGAAAUUUUAAAAUAUUAAAAACUUUCAACAACGGAUCUCUUGGUUCUCGCAUCGAUGAAGAACGCAGCGAAAUGCGAUACGUAAUGUGAAUUGCAGAAUUCCGUGAAUCAUCGAAUCUUUGAACGCACAUUGCGCCCCUUGGUAUUCCAGGGGGCAUGCCUGUUUGAGCGUCAUUUCCUUCUCAAACAUUCUGUUUGGUAGUGAGUGAUACUCUUUGGAGUUAACUUGAAAUUGCUGGCCUUUUCAUUGGAUGUUUUUUUUCCAAAGAGAGGUUUCUCUGCGUGCUUGAGGUAUAAUGCAAGUACGGUCGUUUUAGGUUUUACCAACUGCGGCUAAUCUUUUUUUAUACUGAGCGUAUUGGAACGUUAUCGAUAAGAAGAGAGCGUCUAGGCGAACAAUGUUCUUAAAGUUUGACCUCAAAUCAGGGAGGAGUACCCGCUGAACUUAACCAUAUCAAUAAGCGG